ACAGGGAUUGCCUUAGUAACGGCGAGUGAAGCGGCAACAGCUCAAAUUUGAAAUCUGGCCCUUGGGUCCGAAUUGUAAUUUGUAGAGGAUGUUUUUGGUGCGGUACUUUCCGAGUUCCCUGGAACGGGACGCCUUAGAGGGUGAGAGCCCCGUACGGUUGGAUACCUAGCCUUUGUAAAACUCCUUCGACGAGUCGAGUAGUUUGGGAAUGCUGCUCUAAAUGGGAGGUAAAUUUCUUCUAAAGCUAAAUAUUGGCCAGAGACCGAUAGCGCACAAGUAGAGUGAUCGAAAGAUGAAAAGCACUUUGAAAAGAGGGUUAAAUAGCACGUGAAAUUGUUGAAAGGGAAGGAUUUAUGACCAGACUUUUUCUAGGCGGAUCAUCCGGUGUUCUCACCGGUGCACUUCGCCUAGUUGAGGCCAGCAUCGGUUUCUGUAGGGGGAUAAAAACAGUAGGAAUGUGGCUCCUCCGGGAGUGUUAUAGCCUAUUGUAUAAUACCUUUACGGGGACCGAGGUACGCGCUCUGCAAGGAUGCUGGCAUAAUGGUCAUCAAUCACCCGUCUUGAAACACGGACCAAGGAGUCGAACAUUUGUGCGAGUGUUUGGGUGUUAAACCCUCACGCGUAAUGAAAGUGAACGGAGGUGAGAGCCCUUACGGGUGCAUCAUCGACCGAUCCUGAUGUUUUCGGAUGGAUUUGAGUAAGAGCAUAAAUGUUCGGACCCGAAAGAUGGUGAACUAUGCGUGGAUAGGGUGAAGCCAGAGGAAACUCUGGUGGAGGCUCGCAGCGGUUCUGACGUGCAAAUCGAUCGUCAAAUCUGCGCAUGGGGGCGAAAGACUAAUCGAACC
rnacentral:rRNA from 1 species